rnacentral:rRNA from 1 species
GCGCAGCAGUCGAGAAUACUUCACAAUGUGCGAAAGCACGAUGAGGGAAUCCCAAGUGCUUGCACGUAAGUGUAAGCUGUUUCUCUGUCUAAAACGCAGAGAGAGUAAGGGCUGGGUAAGACGGGUGCCAGCCGCCGCGGUAAUACCUGCAGCUCGAGUGGUGAUCGUUAUUAUUGGGCCUAAAACGUCCGUAGCCGGUUUAAUAAAUGCCUGGGUAAAUCGGACCGCUUAACGGUUCGAAUUCCGGGUAGACUGUUAAAACUUGAGACCGGGAGAAGUUAGAGGUACUCCUGGGGUAGAGGUGAAAAUUCUGUAAUCCUAGGGGGACCACCAGUGGCGAAGGCGUCUAACUAGAACGGGUCUGACGGUGAGGGACGAAGCCCUGGGGCGCAAACGGGGAUUAGAUACCCGCGUAGUCCCU